AGCGAACGCUGGCGGCAGGCUUAACACAUGCAAGUCGAACGGGCUUCUUCGGAAGUCAGUGGCAGACGGGUGAGUAACACGUGGGAACGUGCCCUUCGGUUCGGAAUAACUCAGGGAAACUUGAGCUAAUACCGGAUACGCCCUUUUGGGGAAAGGUUUACUGCCGAAGGAUCGGCCCGCGUCUGAUUAGCUUGUUGGUGGGGUAACGGCCUACCAAGGCGACGAUCAGUAGCUGGUCUGAGAGGAUGAUCAGCCACACUGGGACUGAGACACGGCCCAGACUCCUACGGGAGGCAGCAGUGGGGAAUAUUGGACAAUGGGCGCAAGCCUGAUCCAGCCAUGCCGCGUGAGUGAUGAAGGCCUUAGGUUUGUAAAGCUCUUUUGUCCGGGACGAUAAUGACGGUACCGGAAGAAUAAGCCCCGGCUAACUUCGUG
rnacentral:rRNA from 1 species